AUUUCUCUUUUCUCACUCUCUCGGCACUCUCUCUCCUCCUCUCCUCCGAAAAACUUCCUCCUCUCUUCUCUCUUCGAUUUCAUCUACCUAGGGGGUGAUUCCGGACAAGGUCCGAGAAUUAAAGUUGUUAUACGGUGCAUGGGCUUUCCGAAUAUCCAAGAAAAAUCAUGAUCGGACCGCGUGGGAGCUUGGUUGACUUGGUCAAAGGUUCGGGUUUUGCUCAAAACCCAUGAGGUACGAUUCAAGGAAGUUGACAUGGAGUACAUGUUGUGCAUUUGUGACCAAACCUUUAAAAAGGUAUUCAAGAAGGAUUUCAUAGCACAAGAUCUGAAAGAGCAUUUUUUUUUGGAAAGAUAGUAUUUGUAAAUUGUAAUAAUAUUUCCCUAGGAUAUUGGUAUUUUGAUGAUUUAGGGCCUUCGAGUUAGAAUGUAAUAUUUGUUUUAUUUGAGAACAGUGAACAAAAAGAUCUUUUGGGGUAUUAUUUGUAUUACAGCGAGGACUUUAUUUAUUAAAAAUGUUUAUUAUUUAUGUUGAAAAUUGAGGGCGUGACACAGCCCGAGGUAUUUGGAUGCCUAAUGCCUAUUCUAAGAAUGAUGCCCUAAACGCUGAUAAGUGGCUAAGAUUGUAAAGUCUUGGCGCCUAAAAUCCUUUAAUUUGUAGCGUUUGAUUCCCUAAUUUAUUAUUUUUAUUCCAUUUUGCACGUAAGGUUGUGUUUUGAUAGUUUCAGGAAAUACGUGGCAUUAAGGCGGUUUUUAUCGCUAAGGGUUGCUGUCGGAAGUAUUAAAGCAUCCAAGGCCUUGUGGCGGCGCCCCAUCAAGUCCCGUCGGGUGAUUAAUGAAGAAGGGAGAGAGCGUUGGGUCGUCGUCGGGCUGUUAAGACCAAGGCAGGCACAAAGACAGUUUUCUGCCAUGUAUGAACCGGUACUGGGGGUUGCCCAGUACCGGUCUGUGAUGAUAAGAGUUUUUGGCAGAUUUUUGAAGGCUAUGAACCGGUACGAGGAGUUGGCCAGUAUCGGUACAUACUGCAGAAAAUGUUCACGUUUUUGCUACAUUUUCACUUUUGGGAUAUUUUUCACUUUUGGCUACUUUUAGGAUAUUUUUGAGAUAUUUUGUGAGAGAAGAAGCCACCUUGUAUAAAUAGGGCUUCCUUCUCUCUUCUUGAGGAUCUCUUGUCAUAUAUCACUUUAAGUCUUUUAAAUUUUUAGAACUCCAUUAAAAGCUCUCAAGCUUUUGUGUUAAUUUCUUCAAGAACUCCUUAAGGUAUUUAUCGUUUGUUAAUUUCUCGUUUAUUAAAGUUGCUUGUACGGACUAGAUCUUUGGUAAUAUCAAGUUUGUUUUCAAUUUCUUCGGUUAAAA